rnacentral:rRNA from 1 species
CGGGAAUUUUGGGCAAUGGGCGAAAGCCUGACCCAGCAACGCCGCGGGAGGGAUGAAGUAUUUCGGUAUGUAAACCUCGAAAGAAUGGGAAGAAUAAAUGACGGUACCAUUUAUAAGCUCCGGCUAACUACGUGCCAGCAGCCGCGGUAAUACGUAGGGAGCAAGCGUUGUUCGGAUUUACUGGGCGUAAAGGGCGCGUAGGCGGCGCGGUAAGUCACUUGUGAAAUCUCUGAGCUUAACUCAGAACGGCCAAGUGAUACUGCUGUGCUAGAGUGCGGAAGAGGCAACCGGAAUUCUUGGUGUAGCGGUGAAAUGCGUAGAUAUCAAGAGGAACACCUGAGGCGAAGGCGGGUUGCUGGGCCGAUACUGACGCUGAGGUGCGAAAGCGUGGGGAGCAAACA